GGAGAUUGGAUCAGGCGCCAGCCUUGAGGUGUCUGAUUGGAGAAAAGCUGUGCAGUGCCGCUCCCCCGACCGACUCCUUGAGAAGAAACGGCGGAGACCUGAGACCCGGAGGCUGAGGCUGUAGGUGGGCUCCGCUGGGUAAAAGUUGCCGCAGCAGCUGUCCCUUGGCCCCAUCGCGAUUUAUUUUUCCCCCUUGCUUUCCGGGUCCCGGGAUCCCAAGUUUGUAACUAACGGGAGCGAAUCCACACCCGAGCAAAAUGUUUGCGAGUUUCAGGCGCCCUUAGUUGAAAGGCUGUAAUUAACAAGUCCGCUGUUUGCCAGCCAGGCGCCGUUGCAGGCGCUUUCUGUGGAUUGUCAUUUAUUUCUCACAGCAACCCUAGGAGAUGAAAUUGAAUCAUGGAAGAAUGCCUUUAUCUGAGGAGUCAUCACCACUAGGGAGCUAUGGAGGCUGUUAUCCUUGACAUCUGCAGCAGCCCUUCCAAGCUGUGGAGACCAGGUCAUCUGGAAUGCCCAUUUAUGUCAAUGGAAGAAAGAAAAAGGGGUCUCCUCCCAUCCUCACCACUGCAUUCUCCCACCAACCCUGCUCCUGUCCCACUUCCCACAACUCAGUUGUUGACAAUUUAACAGUGGGUUUCUGGAAACAGUGCUGCCUCCUUGAUGGUCUAACUAACUACCAGAGUUAUUCUAACAGCAGGAAUUUCAAGCCAGGUUUGUAAAACAAGAAUGAAAAACGUUGACAGUUAUUCUGCAGAUUCGCUUUUCACCAAUACAGAAAUGUGGCAAAAAUACAAUUUGAUAUUAACAGAUGAAUUCAGAGGGCUUGGCCAGGAAGAAAAGAGGCAAACCAGACAUACAUAGGAGGCACAGCAAAAGACCCAAGGUGAGGGGCUUCCCUCACCUUCACCCUUGUUCUCACGUGGAGGUGGCGCAUGUCUAUGAGACACAGUACCCCACUCAGCGAUCCUCUGCAGUCCAGGAAAUUCUAGCACUUGCUUGGAAAACAAAUCAAGUGAAGCCUGUUGGCUUUUUGUGAGCUGCCUAUGGAGAAAUGCACAUGGCAAGGAACUGAGGGUUGCCUCCAGCAAACUGCUGGUGAGGGAGUGAGGCCUUCAGUCCAACAGCCUUUAAGGAACUGAAUCCUGCCAACAACCAUGUGAGUGGGCUUGGAGAUGGAUGCUACCACCAUCAAGCCUUCAGGAGUGAAUUUUUUUGUUCUUGAGACAGCGUCUCAUUCUGUUGCCCAGGAUGGAGUACAGUGGUGCCAUCUUCGCUCACUGCAGCCUUCGUCUCCCGGGUUCAAGCAAUUCUCCUGUCUCAGCCUCCCAAGUAGCUGGGAUUACAGACCCAUCAAGCCUUCAGAUAAGACUGCAGCCUCAUUACAGACCUUGAACUGGAGGCAGCCAGCUGAGUCACACCUGGAUUCCUGACCCUUAGAAACUAUGAGAUAAUAAAUGUUUACAGUUUUAAG
rnacentral:lncRNA from 1 species